rnacentral:misc_RNA from 1 species
AAGGAGUCUAACAUGUUUGCGAGUGUUUGGGUGGAAAACCCGAGCGCGUAAUUAAAGUGAAUGCAGGUGGGAUGCGCAAGCAGCACCAUCGACCGAUCUGGAUCUUUUGUGAUGGAUUUGAGUAAGAGCACAUAUGAUGGGACCCGAAAGAUGGUGAACUAUGCCUGAAUAGGGCGAAGCCAGGGGAAACUCUGGUGGAGGCUCGUAGCGAUACUGACGUGCAAAUCGUUCGUCGAACUUGGGUAUAGGGGCGAAAAACUAAUCGAACCAUCUAUUAGCUGGUUCCUUC